GUCCUUUUGAUUAUAAUUUAAGGUCUAACCUGCCCACUGAUUAAUUGAAUGGCCGCGGUAUUUUGACCGUGCAAAGGUAGCAUAAUCAUUAGUUUUUUAAUUGAAAACUGGAAUGAAUGGUUGAAUAAGAAAAUAGCUGUCUCAAGUUAAAUUUUUUAGAAUUUUAUAUUUAAGUUAAAAAGCUUAAAUUUUAUUUAAAGACGAGAAGACCCUAUAGAGUUUAAAAUUUUUUAUAUUUAUUAUUUUAAGAUUUUAUAUUUUUAAUUAUAAAAAGUUUUUAAUUGGGGUGAUUAGAAAAUUAAAUUAACUUUUCUUUAUUAAAACAUUAAUUAAUGAAUUUAUGAUCCUUUAUUUAAGAUUAAAAGAUAAAAUUACCUUAGGGAUAACAGCGUAAUUUUUUUAGAGAGUUCUUAUCGAAAAAAAAGAUUGCGACCUCGAUGUUGGAUUAAAAUAAAUAUUUGGCGAAGAAGUUAAAUUAUUAGGUCUGUUCGACCUUUAAAAUUUUACA
rnacentral:rRNA from 1 species